GGUGUGUGUUCAGUUGAAGGAAACAUCCGAAUAGGAAAAGAAUCCAGUAAAUUACACUAGUAAAACUCAAAUCCAGUGGGCAGUGGAGAAAGUGAGAUUGGGCGCCAAAAAUUGGGAAAUCUUUUACCGCCUUGAUUUUAGCUUCCUUGGAAAGAUGCGGCUGUUUGUCCGACACCCUCCACUCCACCUCUUCCCAGUUGUUUUUAUUCUCAGUUUUUUCUCUUCUCAAUUAUUUCGUUUUACUUUUGUCUCAUACAAUUUUGUCUCUCUAACGGUGAAUACGCACAACACUACAUUGCGUGGGUAAAAAUUUAGGCUAAAAAUUUCCUAGUAUUCAGAAAAAAUUUAGGCUUUCUUUCUGCAAAUUCUCCUUUCCUUCGCUUCCUCUACCUCUUCCCUUCAUUGGUAUUGGUAUUGGUAUUGAUGCUUGUGUCCUCCGCAUCAACAGCACCUGAGAACUGUUUCCCUUCCUAUUGUUUUGUUGGUUGAGAUUCCGAAUAGUUUAAAGAAAGAGACCCAAGAAGUAAUGUCAGGUUUGUAUAAUCCCAACUUCUCUCCUGCAAGAGCUGCUUCUCCUCAGAUUAGAAGCAGCGCUGAUGCUGACAGCCACUACUUGUCGGAGCUGUUGGCCGAGCAUCACAAACUCGGACCCUUCAUGCAAAUCCUUCCUAUUUGUAGCCGACUUUUGAAUCAAGAGAUUUUGCGGGUUUCUGGAAUGAUGUCCAACCAAGGUUUUAGUGACUUGGAGAGAUUACGACAAAGAAGCCCCAGCCCAAUGCCUUCUUCUAACCUCGUCUCAAAUGUUUCUGGCGCAGGUUUUGGCGGCUGGAAUGGACUUCCUCAGGAGCAAAUGUUAAGUGGAAAUCCUGGAAUGACAAUGGACUGGCAAGGUGCUCCUGCAAGCCCUAGUUCAUUUACUGUAAAGAGGAUUUUGCAGUUGGAAAUUCCAGUGGACACGUACCCAAAUUUCAAUUUUGUUGGGCGGCUUCUUGGACCCAGAGGCAAUUCUCUGAAACGGGUGGAAGCUACUACAGGAUGUCGUGUGUAUAUUAGAGGAAAGGGGUCAAUUAAAGAUCCAGAGAAGGAAGAGCAACUCCGUGGAAGGCUUGGUUAUGAACACCUGAAUGAACCGCUGCAUGUCCUAAUUGAGGCUGAUUUACCGCCCAAUACCGUUGAUAUCAGGCUGAGACAGGCACAAGAAAUUAUAGAAGAACUACUCAAACCCGUGGACGAGCCAAAUGAUUAUAUCAAAAGACAACAGUUGCGUGAAUUAGCAAUGCUGAACUCAAAUUUGAGAGAAGAAAGUCCUGGCCCCAGCGGCAGUGUUUCUCCUUUCAACUCAAGCGGGAUGAAGCGGGCUAAAACUGGUCGCUGAGAGAUCACAUUCCUCUCCAUUACAUAUUCCCUCUCUAUUAUGCGAAUUGAUCACUCAAAGUGUACAAAAGGUGGGGAAGCCAAGUUUCAUGAGUUAAGCUCCCAACAAUCCAACGCCAUCCUUGGAACUGGAAACUGUGUGGUGCAAAUAGUUGGUUCCGUCGGAGACGAGUAGCUAAUAGUUGGUCAAAAUCACAUACGCUCUCAGGCAGCAGCUGCCGUGGAAUUUAUUGGGAUUGCAGAUUUCUUCUUUCUUCUUGGCAAUUAUAAAAACUGGGUUGAGUGACCAAUCAACCAAGAUACCCAUCCGACAGCAUUGCGUCUUUAUUCUUUAUCGAGUUCCGCGCCAGUGUCAGUCCACGCGAGAGAUGGAAUGGAAGACCCCAAUCAAUUCCUUUCACUAAACGCCCUUUGACUAAACUUUAGUACGCCGAUUAAUAAAAACUCGCCGUGUCCCCACACCCCCCAGUCAGUGCGUCGAACGAGGCGGAUGAAUGACCAUGUCGACCCAUUGAGAUAACAACGGAGGGGAAGCGAGAAUUGAAGUGUUUCCUACAAAGACCAGCAAACAAACAACAGGCCACUCAAUGCCACACUUGAGACAAAGCAGUGGGGGGAGGGUGAAAGACA